CCGGAAGUGGAGGUAACGCCAGGCCCUGCCCCCGGCAGAGCCGGAAGCGGAGUCGCCGUGAGAGGUUUCACGUCUCCGUAGGCGCCUCAGCCCAGCCGCGCGCCUUGGCCCAUGGCCGCCUACUCCUACCGCCCCGGCCCCGGUGCCGGCCCAGGGCCUGCUGCGGGCGCGGCGCUGCCGGACCAGAGCUUUCUGUGGAACGUCUUCCAGAGGGUUGAUAAAGACAGGAGUGGAGUGAUAUCGGACACCGAGCUUCAGCAAGCUCUCUCCAACGGAUGAAGCCCCACCCGCCCUUCAGGAUGCCAGCCUUGGCAACAUCGUGAGACCCUGUUUCUCCAAAAAGUCAACAAAAUGAACCAAGUGUGGUGGUGCACGCCUGUAGUCCCAGCUACUUGGGAGGCUGAGAUGGGAAGAUCAUUUGAGCCUGGGAGGUUGAGGCUGCAUUGAGCUGAGAUCAAGCCACUGCACUCCAGCCUGGGAGACAGAGUGAAACCCUAUCUCAAAAAAACACAGAAAGUGGAUGCUGCUCCUGCCAUUGGGUCAUUGCAGCGUUUUUCUUUUCUCUGAUGCACACCUUUUUCCUCAUCGUGGGGUCUCGUGUUUUCGUAGUUCCCUCUCGCUACUGGAUUGUGAGCUGCGUGAAGGAAGGUUCAUAGUUGGGUUGUAUGUACAGGCACACAAAAUUUGUCUUUGGACAGACACAUAUCAAUCUGCUUUCUUCUCCUCUCUGAAUUUCUUUAUAUAAAAAAAUAGAGAUGGAGUCUCACUGUCUUUCCUUGGCUGGUCUCAAACUCCUAGGCUCAAGCGAUCCUCCCGUCUCAGCCUAUACUAAUAUGAAUUCCUCUACUAAUGUGAUUAAAAUUAGUGUGACUUCCAUAAUAAUUGUUCUCCCAGAUUGGACUUCUGUUUUGAUAGUAGAAGUAAAUUAUUGGGCUAUUUCAAGAAAUUAACAUAUUACUGGUAGAAAAACUGAAGCUACAAAAUGGCCUGGUUUCUCACUUCAGUUAAAUUUGUGCUUCUGAGUGUUUGUAUUGUAGGUGAAACUGCACUGAGAAGGUAUUUGUGGCCCGUACACUGAUUCCUUGAUGAGACUUGUUUGCACAGGAGAGCUGCUAAAAAUUACUGCUCUAAGGGAGGUCUGUGAUAAACAGACAGAGGCCCACUGAGGCUUCUCUCUCCUCCACGGGGAACAGCAUUGGGCUAAACCUGCAGACACCAUUGCAAAGGGAAGUCAGCUCAGGCGAACCCGCUGGUGAAGAAUGAUCCCAGCGUGGGGACACAGAGGCCGACAUUUCUUGCCGUGGGUGAUUUAAUGUUGGGCCUCAGUUUUUCACUCCCCCGGUAAGAGUAUGACACAGCUCGCAGCUGCAGCCUAGCCAGGGCCCGAGGGAGGGUGGACGGACUUAUCCA